GGGCGUGUGGCCUAGCCAGGAGCACUGGCCGGUGGCCCUGUUCCCUAGAAGCUGUUCAGCUAGCAAGGAUAUGGCGGCAGCCUCCUAAGCUGUAAGCCGGGGGUUCGAAUCCCUCCACGCCCG
rnacentral:tRNA from 1 species